UCCGACGGUUCAGAACCUGAUUUGGGUUGAUUAAAGACUCUUAAACCUAAUAUAAUUAGGUUUUAACCCUUUAAAAGGGCCUGUGCAUGAAACAGAGAGGAGUGGGUCGAUUUUUUGCACCGUACGAAACCCAAGAGAAGAGAGAGGCGGAAGCGCUGAGAGAAGGAGCAGGAGGCUCCUGGACAGCGAUCGCCAGGCACUUUCGAGAUUCAGGGGGGUCUUCAAGAGAGAGAGAGAUUUUAUGAGGAAAACUUCUAGUGAGAGAGAAUUGGGUGUACAAGGGUUGAGGGUGAGGUCUCCUCUUGUAAAAUUUUCUUUUUCGUAGUGAAGUUUGCAUGCCCC
rnacentral:lncRNA from 1 species